rnacentral:tRNA from 1 species
GGGCGAUUAGCUCAGCUGGUUAGAGCAUCUGCUUUACACGCAGAGGGUCUGAGGUUCGAAUCCUCAAUCGCCCA